GUUGCCCUUAGUGUGUAUACAGCUGUCGGAUAAGCCCACCUCUGCCCCCGAGGUGCCCGGGGCGGCCGUCCUUCCUGCCGCACAGGGGAGUAUCAGGAGGUCUGGAGUCCAAUGGAACCCCUAAAAGGAUACCAUCCCCCAAAAAUGGUAGUAAAGAGAAGUGUGGAAGAAGAAAAAUAAGACUAAAACAGGCACUCUGCCUCCUGCCUUCUACGUUAGAGGAAAAAAGAUCAUCCAGCUGCUAAGGUGAAGAUAGCAUUUAGGAUGCAGAAAUGGGGCGUCGAAGUACUCCUGAUUCCUUUUAGGGAAGAAAAGGUCCAUCUCGGCUUACCUCAUUGCCAAGAGGAAUAAUGAGCAUUUGUUCAGCGAUAAUAAUGUGUGAGGUGCCUGAAAGAGCCCUGAAUCAGGCUAAAUAAUUUCUUCCUUCCUUUAGAAAAUAAAAAACAGC